rnacentral:rRNA from 1 species
ACAUGCAAGUCGAACGGAAGUCGUUAUAAAAAGGAUUGAAGAUUUAUCUGAUUGAGAUUUUAUAACAAUGGCUUUAGUGGCGGACUGGUGAGUAACGCGUGAGCAACCUGCCUACUAGAGGGGAAUAACAGUGAGAAAUCAUUGCUAAUACCGCAUAUGCCAUGAACAUCACAUGAUGAAAAUGGGAAAAGAGUAAUCUACUAGUAGAUGGGCUCGCGUCUGAUUAGAUAGUUGGUGGGGUAACGGCCUACCAAGUCAACGAUCAGUAGCCGGACUGAGAGGUUGAACGGCCACAUUGGGACUGAGAUACGGCCCAGACUCCUACGGGAGGCAGCAGUCGGGAAUAUUGCGCAAUGGAGGAAACUCUGACGCAGUGACGCCGCGUAUAGGAAGAAGGUUUUCGGAUUGUAAACUAUUGUCGUUAGGGAAGAUACAAGACAGUACCUAAGGAGGAAGCUCCGGCUAACUACGUGCCAGCAGCCGCGGUAAUACGUAGGGAGCAAGCGUUAUCCGGAUUUAUUGGGUGUAAAGGGUGCGUAGACGGGACAACAAGUUAGUUGUGAAAUCCCUCGGCUUAACUGAGGAACUGCAACUAAAACUAUUGUUCUUGAGUGUUGGAGAGGAAAGUGGAAUUCCUAGUGUAGCGGUGAAAUGCGUAGAUAUUAGGAGGAACACCGGUGGCGAAGGCGACUUUCUGGACA